rnacentral:rRNA from 1 species
AAAACAAUAUUGAACGCUGGCGGCAUGCCUUACACAUGCAAGUCGAACGGCAGCACGGGUGCUUGCACCUGGUGGCGAGUGGCGAACGGGUGAGUAGUGCAUCGGAACGUACCCAGUAGUGGGGGAUAACUACCCGAAAGGGUGGCUAAUACCGCAUAUACUGUGCGCAGGAAAGCAGGGGACCGUUUGGCCUUGUGCUACUGGAGCGGCCGAUGUCAGAUUAGCUAGUUGGUGGGGUAAAGGCCUACCAAGGCGACGAUCUGUAGCGGGUCUGAGAGGAUGAUCCGCCACACUGGGACUGAGACACGGCCCAG